CGGCCGCGUCGACCAAGUCGAACGGAGUUGUGUUGAAAGCUUGCUGGAUAUACAACUUAGUGGCGGACGGGUGAGUAACACGUGAGUAACCUGCCUCUCAGAGUGGAAUAACGUUUGGAAACGAACGCUAAUACCGCAUAACGUGAGAAGAGGGCAUCCUCUUUUUACCAAAGAUUUAUCGCUGAGAGAUGGGCUCGCGGCCGAUUAGGUAGUUGGUGAGAUAACAGCCCACCAAGGCGACGAUCGGUAGCUGGUCUGAGAGGACGAUCAGCCACACUGGGACUGAGACACGGCCCAGACUCCUACGGGAGGCAGCAGUAGGGAAUCUUCCACAAUGGACGGAAGUCUGAUGGAGCAACGCCGCGUGAGCGAAGAAGGUUUUCGGAUCGUAAAGCUCUGUUGUAAGAGAAGAACGAGUGUGAGAGUGGAAAGUUCACACUGUGACGGUAUCUUACCAGAAAGGGACGGCUAACUACGUGCCAGCAGCCGCGGUAAUACGUAGGUCCCGAGCGUUGUCCGGUAGUUAUUGGGUCGUAAAGUCGACGG
rnacentral:rRNA from 1 species